UCUAAUAUAGGACUGACCCGACCUAGAUCAAUGAUAAGAGGGGUAACACCCCUUCUCUUCCUCAUUUUCACGUUUCCUUCAUGCCAAACAUCCUCUUCUCUCACCUCUCUUCUUCUUUUAACCCUAACCCUAGUAACCGCCUAGGAUUUCUCCUUUCUCUCAUGCCAGAAAUGGCAAUGGCGCAAAGAAGAGCAGGCUCAUUCAGUCCUUGCACGUCCAUAUGAGGUAACAUUAAUUGCUACUCCCCUUUUCUCCACUCAUUCUCACCAAAUGCAACCUAACCUAGGUAAUUCUCGCCUCUCUCUCUCUAUUAUUUUUCAUCUUUUUUCAUCUGAAUCAAGUACACAAUGCAUUGAUGACCUUGGAUUGAGUUGUUUCAACCCUCAAAUCUCAUUAGUUCAUCAUGAACCGACCGGAUUGAGGGUGAAUGGUUGAGAAUCGACCAUUCAAUGUUAUGUUUGGCUAAAUCUUAGCCAUUGGUUGUUGGACGGAAGGAUGAUUUCUCAGAAAUCACACUAGUCCCACAUCGGUUGGGGAAUUAAGGUUGGGUAUUUAGGGAUUCUAUAAAUAGAACCCCCACUUCAUUGAAAAAAAAAAAGAGGAAGUUUUGAACAAUCUUGCAUAUGCAAAAGCUUGAUAUUUGAGCAUUUGACUCAAAUUUUAAGCUAGUAGUAAAAAUUUUAUACUUAACUGUUAGAGGUUGAGUCUUCAAUUUAAAAAGUUUAAUUUUAUUUUCUUAUGUGGUGGCUGAGUUGAGGAGAGAAAGCACAAAAGGCUUUCAUAUCCGUUCUUGCUCGCGGCUACACCCAAAAAAGGCUACAGCCCAACAGUGCCAAUUCUUUUGCAAAAUAAAAUGAGCCUAACGAAGGGAAAGGGAAGCAAAUAUUCGAAGAUGCGUAGAAGGCCCAACCAUAGGUAAAAAUUGUCAACUAGGGGCUUGGUACGCCCCUAGCCUAACUUACUUUUACUUUCGCAUUUAUAUUUGUGGUGUUUUAUUACAUUUGUAUAUUUGCAAAACGCUUGUAUUAUUUGAAUCUUUUAUGGUUAUAAACUAGUCAUCUUAGGACAA